AACCUAUCGAUCUCUUGAUCGUGGGAUUGCUGGCCCUUUUGGGGGCAUGUGCACACCCACCAUCCUCAUCUCUCCACCUGUGCACCUCUUGUAGACUUGGGGGAUACUCUUUCCGAGGCAACUCGGUGCUGGAGGAAUGCUGCUCAAGCCUUCUUUGUAUUUCCCGGUCUACGUUUUUUUUAUAUACCCCAUAUGAUGUAAAAGAAUGUAUCUUUUGGAUCCUUGGGCCUAUAAAUCUUAUACUACUUUCACCAAAUGAUCUCUUGCCUCUCGCAUCGAUGAACAACGCAAAGAAAUGCAAUAAGUAAUGAGAAUUGAAUAAUUCGAUGAAUCAACGAAUCUUUGAACGCACCUUGUCCUCGUUGUUCUUACGAGGAUGAUGGCUGGUUGAGUGUUAUAAUCUUCUCCACCUUAUCACAUUACUUCUGAUAGUGUGUAGGAUGUGGGGUUUCCUCUUGCUGGCUCAGGCCUCCUCCCCAUAGCUGUAUUAGCUGGCGCCCCUGGAGGACUGAUUAUUGGUGUGAUAAUUAUCUACGCCAUGGAUGGAUGGCUGCUCACCGCUGCUACUAGCCUUUGAAAACAAUACACUGACAAUUUGACCUCCAAUCAGGAAUAACUACCCACUGAACUUAAACAUAUAAAUAAACGAAGGAA
rnacentral:rRNA from 1 species